GUGUUUCCUUUGCUCACAGGGACCUGUUGAGUCAACAGCUGGGGGCUGGGUAAGAACUGAGUGGAAACGGAGUGCAAGUGGUUGAUAAGCUGGGCACAUCUCUGCUCCCUGGGCGUCCAGCUUUCAAACCGGGAAAGUUUGUAGGUCUCCUUAAUAUGGGAAAAUUGAGGAAGAAAAAAAGAUCAACACUCUAUUCAAUCCACCAAGAACACAUACUGUAUGACAAGGCAAACCAGAUACCUCUUUCUACUGGUCUGUACUGAACUGCAAUUAAAAUGCAGGUUUACACAUAUACAAGGAUGAAUAGUCCAGUCUGCAAAACAGAAAUAAGCAUCAAAUACCAAUUCUGGGAGAAUCUUUGCUCUCUCCGGCUUCUCACCACUUUCUGGAGAAGAGAAGAAAACAGAAGGCGAGACAGAUAUUCGUAAGGGUGCGUGCACCUUACCCUAUAA